UACAGAGGAUGCAAGCGUUAUCCGAAUGAUUGGGCGUAAAGCGUCUGUAGGUGGCUUUUUAAGUCCGCCGUCAAAUCCCAGGGCUCAACUCUGGACAGGCGGUGGAAACUACCAAGCUGGAGUACGGUAGGGGCAGAGGGAAUUUCCGGUGGAGCGGUGAAAUGCGUAGAGAUCGGAAAGAACACCAGUGGCGAAGGCGGUUGCCUGGGGCUUUGCUGACGCUGAUGCGCGAAAGCGUGGGGAGCGAUCCGG
rnacentral:rRNA from 1 species